AUUUAAGUAGUAUAAAAAUUAUAAUUGAUUUCCAAUCAAUAGAUCUAAAUAUUUAGCUUAAAUA
rnacentral:tRNA from 1 species